rnacentral:rRNA from 1 species
AUUUUCGGGAAUGGGGGGAACCCUGACCGAGCAACGCCGCGUGAACGAAGAAGUUAUUCGUAAUGUAAAGUUCUUUUAUUUGCGAAGAAGAAAGUGACGGUAGCAAAUGAAUAAGCUCCGGCUAACUACGUGCCAGCAGCCGCGGUAAUACGUAGGGGGCGAGCGUUAUCCGGAAUUAUUGGGCGUAAAGGGUGCGUAGAUGGCACAAAAAGUCUUGUGUAAAAAUGCUAGGCUCAACCUAGUAGAGCAAAAGAUACUUUUGAGCUAGAGUAUGGCAGAGGCAAGUGGAACUACAUGUGUAGCGGUAAAAUGCGUAAAUAUAUGUAAGAACACCAGUGGCGAAGGCGGCUUGCUGGGCCGAUACUGACAUUGAGGCACGAAAGCGUGGGGAGCAAACAGG